CCUACGGGGGGCAGCAGUGGGGAAUAUUGCACAAUGGGGGAAACCCUGAUGCAGCGACGCCGCGUGAGUGAAGAAGUAAUUCGUUACGUAAAGCUCUAUCAGCAGGGAAGAAAUACUGACCUUACGGUCAGCAGACGGUACCUGAGUAAGAAGCCCCGGCUAACUACGUGCCAGCAGCCGCGGGAAUACGUAGGGGGCAAGCGUUAUCCGGAUUUACUGGGUGUAAAGGGAGCGUAGACGGUGCGGCAAGUCUGGAGUGCAAUGCCGCAGCUUAACUGCGGAACUGCUUGGGAAACUGGCGAACUAGAGUGCGGGAGGGGUAAGCGGAAUUCCUAGUGUAGCGGUGAAAUGCGUAGAUAUUAGGAGGAACACCGGUGGCGAAGGCGGCUUACUGGACCGUAACUGACGUUGAGGCUCGAAAGCGUGGGGAGCAAACAGGAUUAGAUACCCGAGUAGUC
rnacentral:rRNA from 1 species